UACGGAGGAUGCAAGCGUUAUCCGGAAUUAUUGGGCGUAAAGCGCGUGUAGGCGGCUCGGUAAGUCUGCUGUGAAAGUCCAGGGCUCAACCCUGGAAUGCCGGUGGAUACUGUCGAGCUAGAGUCCGGAAGAGGCGAGUGGAAUUCCUGGUGUAGCGGUGAAAUGCGCAGAUAUCAGGGGGAACACCAAUGGCGAAGGCAGCUCGCUGGGACGGUACUGACGCUGAGACGCGAAAGCGUGGGGAGCAAACAGG
rnacentral:rRNA from 1 species